AUGUUGGAGGGUAGAAUGUAUGUUGGAAAAACUAAACUUUGUAAUUCUAUUGGCCUUCAGGUCAUCUUGGAGUACAACCGGACCCUGGACCCUCCCUCCGGACGUCCAACUCUGAGGUCAUGGCCACUGUCGACUUCACCCCUGCCUCGGCCCCGCCCCGCCCUGGCGGGUGGUGGUGUCUGGCUCCUCCCUCAGAGCAGUCAUCUCCCAGCUGCUGACUCAGGUCAGCCAUGGGUCCCACCCUCCUGUGUGGUGGUUCACCAUCUUCCAGGAGGUCCACCGCCUCCUCCGGUCCUCCUUCCCCUGGGUCAGGGUGAGGGUGGACAGGCAACAGGCCAACUGUCUUCUGCAGCCCAUAGCUCAUCACCAGGUCUCUAUUGUUGAAGAAGAUGCUUCACAUUGGUGACUUCUGGCUAAAUACAUCAUGGCCCGCCUGGAGAAACAGUUGAUCCCCUGGAACGGUCUGGAGAAGGCUCUGCUCACCGCGCCACACAUCUUCCAGCAUUACGCCGUCCAGCUGGUGGCUCGUAGCAGCUCAGGGAGCAACUCUACAGGACGUUUGGCACGUGGGUCCAACACGGCAAACCUUCUGGCAGGGCUCUCCCACCGAUGAGCACCGCAGAGCAGGGCCUCAGAGGAGGGGACGCAGCCGUCCACAGCAACCCUCUGGCUGACGUCCCUGUCGCUCUGGACCCCGGUCUGGACGCCCCUCAGGAGGAGCAGCCCGACAGCCACAGGCGUUGUGAUCCGUCUGUGAUGGAGAACAGUAGCUGUGGCCCUGUCACUGGAGAUCUCCUUCCUCCAGCAGCUCAGCCAGAGAAGUACGGAGAGUCUAACUCCGUCUCCACAACCGUAGGUUUAUCAUGACACAACAAACCAAGACUGCAAGUCUAGCACCACAUACAUGUGCAUAAUAGCAGCUCGAGAACACGAGAU
rnacentral:lncRNA from 1 species